rnacentral:rRNA from 1 species
GUGGGGAAUUUUGCGCAAUGGGGGAAACCCUGACGCAGCAACGCCGCGUGCGGGAUGAAGGCCUUCGGGUUGUAAACCGCUUUCAGUAGGGAAGAAAAUGACGGUACCUACAGAAGAAGCUCCGGCUAACUACGUGCCAGCAGCCGCGGUAAUACGUAGGGAGCGAGCGUUAUCCGGAUUUAUUGGGCGUAAAGCGCGCGUAGGCGGGCUAUUAAGUCAGGUGUUAAAGCCCGGGGCUCAACCCCGGCCCGCACCUGAAACUGGUAGUCUUGAGUCUGGUAGGGGAAAGUGGAAUUCCCAGUGUAGCGGUGAAAUGCGCAGAUAUUGGGAAGAACACCAGUGGCGAAGGCGGCUUUCUAGGCCACGACUGACGCUGAGGCGCGAAAGCUAGGGGAGCAAACAGGAUUAGAAACCCUGGUAGUCC